GGGUCAAACUACAUCACCGCGCUGCUGUAUUAUUCUUUAUUUUUGGCACUAAACAUUCACAAGUUCAUGCUCUUUGUAGAUGAUGAAGCGACGACACAAAGGAAAAGGCCAAGUAAUGUAACCUUGAUGACAAGCAAGGAAAAUGACUGCUAACCUUCUCCCAGUGUUUGUAGCACAUUUGAGCAUGGACAAGACACUAUAGUAAAGUCCACACUACAGAGGAAUGCUGGGUACGAGGAGCGUGUCUCUGCAGGUCGGCGUAGCUUGCAUUGAAAUGCAUGUCUGAGGUAAACUCGGUGGAUUUGUACUACACAUCAAUGAGACGCUUUCCCUGGAUCAAAAGACAACCACCUCUAGGUGAUGUGUUUUGGAUGACAGCAAAGCUCAACUUUGAGAGACAACUUGUAAAAAUAUUCACAUCUGGCUCUUGAAUAAGUGUGAUAAACUAAUUGCUGUGUUUUAGCAGCUUAACCCCCCUCUGACAGAUCAUCAGGCUCAGUUAACAGGGCCUAUAGAUCAAAUUGCCAUCAAAGUCUUGUCAGAUGCAGACGAUUAGUGAUGCAUGAAGGCCCAAUGGUAGCUCUGCUUAUUGAGCAGCGGUUCAACAGGCCCGAGUACCCUGAGGCGCUCGCUCUCCCUCCAGUAAAACUACAAGGUCAAGUUCUGGCUCUUGCCCAAGCCUCUAAUAACUGCAACACCAUGUCUGAGCCUGUCCCUAUGCUGAAAUGUGCCCCCGAUUCACCGGACAGCAAUUCUCUCAGUGGGAUAGAGCAAAAACAUAGAUGGCCCUUCUUCUUCUGAGUUAAGUAAGAUGAACAAAAUGCAAAAUUAUGGGAAUUUGAAGGAUUCCUUUGUAACUAAUAUAGAGGCAUCACCAACUGAAGACAAUGAAGAUACUCUAUUAAAAGAGUUCUAUUUAGCUACUAACUUUAAUGUUCCAAAUUCACCUCUAAACAGCGACAAAUUCUCUCAUAAUUAUCUUGAUGUCAGAGAUACAGACUGCGUAACAUCACCAGAUUCAACCAGUGAGGACCUACCCACAUGAUCUGCUAAGGAUAGUAAAACACAAACCAAGCGCUAUUGUGUUUUCUGAUUUUGAUCACAGCCCUGAAAAUCAAGCUA